UGAUGAUGGACAGAUCAAAGCAGGUGAGUUCUGAAUCGGAUGAUGGCAGUAACCCUUGGCUGACG
rnacentral:snoRNA from 1 species